UCCAGACUCCUACGGGAGGCAGCAGUGAGGAAUAUUGGUCAAUGGGCGGAAGUCUGAACCAGCCAUGCCGCGUGCAGGAAGACGGCUCUAUGAGUUGUAAACUGCUUUUGUACAAGGGUAAACCUGAAUACGUGUAUUCAGCUGAAAGUACUGUACGAAUAAGCAUCGGCUAACUCCGUGCCAGCAGCCGCGGUAAUACGGAGGAUGCGAGCGUUAUCCGGAUUUAUUGGGUUUAAAGGGUGCGUAGGCGGUUUUUUAAGUUAGUGGUUAAACGUCGGGGCUUCACCUUGAUUUGCCAUUAAUACUGUAAGACUCGAGUUCAGACGAGGUAGGCGGAAUAAGUUAAGUAGCGGUGAAAUGCUUAGAUAUAACUUAGAACUCCGAUAGCGAAGGCAGCUUACCAGACUGCGACUGACGCUGAAGCACGAGAGCGUGGGUAGCGAACAGGAUUAGAUACCCUAGUA
rnacentral:rRNA from 1 species